AACGAACGCUGGCGGCAGGCUUAACACAUGCAAGUCGAGCGCCCCGCAAGGGGAGCGGCAGACGGGUGAGUAACGCGUGGGAACGUGCCCUUUGGUUCGGAACAACUCCGGGAAACUGGAGCUAAUACCGGAUAAGCCCUUCGGGGGAAAGAUUUAUCGCCAAAGGAUCGGCCCGCGUCUGAUUAGCUAGUUGGUGGGGUAAUGGCCCACCAAGGCGACGAUCAGUAGCUGGUCUGAGAGGAUGAUCAGCCACACUGGGACUGAGACACGGCCCAGACUCCUACGGGAGGCAGCAGUGGGGAAUAUUGGACAAUGGGCGCAAGCCUGAUCCAGCCAUGCCGCGUGAGUGAUGAAGGCCUUAGGGUUGUAAAGCUCUUUUGUCCGGGAAGAUAAUGACUGUACCGGAAGAAUAAGCCCCGGCUAACUUCGUGCCAGCAGCCGCCGUAACAC
rnacentral:rRNA from 1 species